AUAUAAACAUCUUUUAAAAUGAAUAAAUUAUGAUUAAAUUAUUGUGUUUUUCAUUGGGAAGAAUUAUAACAAAAUAUGAGGGAUGCACCGAAAUGAAAAUUCUUGGCCAAAGUCGAAACCGAAUAUAAUAAAACUUGGCCGAAAGCCAAAGGCUGAAAACCGAACACGUUCUUUCGUGUUUUUUCCAUAUAUUUUCCCAUUUUUUUCACCAUUGCAUAAAUUAAAUAGUCAAAAUGUGCUUUUUAUGAUUUUGUCUUGCUUUUCAAAGAAAAAAAAUCAAUUACAAAAACUACAAUUUCAAAAUAUUUAUUUAACACUUGUCGCGACGGGCAGAGAUCCGGCGCACACCAGAGGGAAAACGCUCCUUCUCCGACUGCCGCACCGGCACGACGUGGGCAGCUUCCUGCCGAACAUUCCGCCAGCUGGAAGGACCGCCGCGGCAGGGCGGGGCUGACGCGACUCCGGCCCGCGAUUGGCGGAUCCAACGGGGAAGUCCCACCACUCAGGCGACGACGGAGGAGGAUAAAAGAGCGCGCUUCCGGCCGGGAAGGGGAAGAGAAUAUCGUGGCGUCAAAACGGACUCCGAGUCGUAAGCGCGGACGAGACCGCCGGAUAGUGAGAGUCGCACACACGGAGGACGCCGGCCCGGGAAAACCCCCGCCCCGCCUCGGGAAUCCCGCCUCCGCCACGAGUCGACUCCGCCGGCCGUCACGCCUUCACAAACCCCCGCACUCUUCCAUUUAUCACACGUUCACCUCACCCUAGCCACAAUAAAGCACCGUCUGCAACCA